GAAUAAGAGGCAGAUUACCCCUAAUAUUUGUAACGCAGAUGUCAAUACAUUACAGGAAACAAACUGUUAUUCUUUUAGAAAGACUGAAUCUGAGGUUCCACAGUGCAGUUAUUUUGACACUCUGGUAUCUAAAGAAUCAGUAGCAAAUAAUACAUAUUACUUGCCUGACUAUAGUUCACAGGAAGAUGAAAUUCUUUGUAACUCAAAUUCUGUUAUUCACGAAGAACAAGUGUGUGAUUCCAAAGGACAGGAAGUGCGUAAAUCACUGCAGUUGGAAGAAACUACAGGUGCAUUUCAUUUGCCUUCGAGAGAGAAUAGAACUUUAGAUUUGAAUGAAGAUUAUAGUAUUGCAAGAGCAUUUAAAGAUAAAAUUAUAUGCCCAUUUGAGGCAAGGGAGGACAGUUUAGCACUUGAAAGGAUUAGAAAUGUACAAUCUUCAUUUGAAAAUUGUGAUAGUGCAUAUCCAAUUUUUAAUAAGCUGCCAAGGGAAGUUUUAUUGGGAGAUAAUUUGAUUGGGUAUCUUCCAUUUGUUUGUGAAAAUUUGUGGGGAAAUUUGCGUAACUUCAGUGCACAUAUUUUUGCAGAAGACAUGAUGGAGGGGAUAAAUAUGACCGACAGUUUGGAUGGAGCUAAUUUAUGCAGACAGAUUGAUGUUAUUGAGGUUUCUUCACAAAACCAUGCAUUGGAUCAGACCCUGAGCACUAAUAGAUUUCUGUCAGACAGAGAUGAAAACGAUAUACUGCCUGUGGCUAAAGACUACUCUAUGGAUGCAGUAGAUGGAGUAUUUAUUGGAGUUAUUGACAAAGUUGAUACAGCCUCAGCCAUUGCAUCAUUUCAAUGGAAGGGAAAAAGUUAUGCAGCAAUUAUCUCCAAGAAGAAAAUUGAAUAUAGAGGGAGGAAAGUAGGAAGGAAAUUGAAUGUUGAUGAACUGCUUGUCACUGGUCAACAUGUGACACUACAUAUUAAAAGUAAUUUAAAAAGUAAACAAGGCAAUUUAAUUAGCUCUCGUGUGAUAUUAGAUGUAGAGAAGGGAGAGGAGUUGCAGGAGAAGAAUUACUUUAUGUCUCCCCUAUACCUAGCUGCCAUGAACAACUCAUUAGGACUUACUUCCAUCCAUGCCACUAUUGAAUCAGUUUUUGAUACAUGGGGAACAUUGUCCUUAGUGGGAGACGAGUGUAAUCAAAAGGCAAUUUUUGUUAGUGAGAAUGUGUAUAUUAAUGAUUUUAAUGUCCCUAAAGAAUGCCCUUUAAAUGUAGUUCUUUACAAAGGGAUGCCUGCUGUAUGUGGUGUGAAUUCACGCAGUUGUGACAUUAAUAUUAAAUUGUUUUUGUUUGUUGGAGAAAUUGUGGAACUGGCGAACAAUGUAGGUAUAAUCUCAUUUUUCAGGAGAGGUAACAAGGAAAAAGCAGUUAUUUUAACUGAAAAUUUGUAUUUCAACAGAGAAAAAUUUGCUUCCUCUGAUUUACAUGAUGUUCUGCAGUUAAAGGAAAAGGUGGCUUUUUUGUGUAUACCAUCUGAAACAAGUGAAAUAAGAUUCAAAGCAACUUAUUUGCUUCUCUGCAAUGAUAGAGAAAACGAUUCUGUAACUUUUGAUACUUUUAAAGAUCACUAUCAUUAUUUUAUUGAUUUACUUUCCAGUUGUCAAAUGAAAUGUGAGAAUAGAGUUCACAGUACUGUUGAGAUGCCCAGUGUUCCAUAUAAUACAACAAACAAACCACCUGAUUUUAACAUGUUUAUAAAAAGUGAGGCUAACUUCAAACAAGCAUCUCAAUCAUUUAUGCAAAGUUUGACUCAUUUCAAGAAGUGCAACAUGUCAGAAGAGCUUCAGGAAAACAAUAAUUACCGCUCUGUGUUAAAUGAUUUGGGAACAGCUUUGGUGUUUGGUGGUUUGUUGUGGAAAGAAUACAUUAGCAACAAAUUUGACACAGAAGCAUCAUCAGCACUCCAAUUAAAUGCUGUUCGUUUCAUUGACAUUACUGGGACUGUUUAUGAAGAAGGAAUUCUAAUGUCUGGAGAAAUGAAGAUCUUAUUUCACCUAAAUGAUGUGUAUGUGAAUGGUGAAAAGUGCACAGUUUUACCAGUGGGUGCAGAGUUGCAUUGCACUGCUACAGAAUUGCCACACCGUGGCUGUCAUGGUGAAACACAUUUUGCUUGGUGCCUUUGGCAAGGAACAAGGCCAGAUGUGCAGCAUGUAUUCAGUGUGUUUGAGUUCAAAAAAUCUGAUGCAGUAACACUAAAGGAAAAUAAGCAGUACAAAGGACAAGUUGUAGCCAUAUAUCCACCACGUGCUGCUCUUGUUAGGCUAUACAUUGGAGGGAGUAUAGUACCAGUUGUAGUGUUUUCCAAUUUUCUGCAAGACAGAGAGUGUCCAUUCAAUUUUGAGGGUAAUCAUUGGAUAAUUGAUUAUAUUAGUAUUGCUGACUGUGUGAGUGUUUCAGUUCAACCAACAAAGAAAUCCAACAAAGUUGCAAAACUUGGCUACCAGUGGACUGCAGUAAGUGCCAGAAAGAGCUGUUCUUGUGAAAUCAAGCCUCAGAAUACAAUGAUUCUUAGCAGGUGCAAAAGAAACCCAUACAAUGGCAAUGUUUCUUUUCUCUAUAAGUCUUUUGCUGUAGUUACAUUUGAUACAGAUGAAGGCUGCAAGUUUGGUUUUUUCAUAAAGGAUUUUGGCAUGAUUAAUAAUGAACCUAUUGGUUCAAAUGUGGCACUCUCUGCUGUAUUGACACACAAUUCUUCUGUUACAUUCCAGAAGGAUUCAAUUUACUUUGUUAAUGAGAACAUAUAUUACAUUUCAGUCAUCUAUGUGAGUGGAUUAGAAAGGAAAAUAAGCUCAAAGUGUAAUACAUGCAGCAUUUGUAGUAAAAAGAUUGAUAAACUGGUGGAUUUUCCAGUUGUUAAACAUUUGAAUGCAGUGAGUGGUGUAUUGAUUGACUUCAGAGACGAUGAUGGACUUAUUGAAUGUGGAAUGUACAAAGCAGUGUUUCACAAAUCAAGACUUUUUCUUUCGGGGAAAAAAAUAGGGAGUAGUCAAGUGUUAGGCGAUGUGAUCUGUAAAGGAAUGACAUUUCACUUUGUUGCAGUUGUAUCAGAAGGAGAGUGGUAUGGUUUACACACUAGUCAUAUUUGUGUAUGCGUUUGGGAUUCUCAAAAACCAACUAUUAGUACUAUUAUGGAAUCUUACAUAACUGAUGCUGCAGAUGGGGACAUGCUUAAGGAAAAUGUUGCUUACUUUGGCAUAGUGAAAGAUAUUGCACCCCCAUCAGUUGCUCUUGUCACUAUAAACACAUUUGGAAGUUCAAUACCAGUACUACUUUUUAUUUCCAGUCUGGCUGUCGGCACAGAGAGGACACUGUGUACCAGGGGUGACUGGAUAAAUGACUAUUUAAAAAUAGGUGAUAAGCUGAAAGUAAAAAUUGCAAGUAAAAUAAAGAACAGCAGAUUUAGAAUUGUCUGUAUUGCCUGGAAAACAAAUGAUGCAUUAACAGCGAAAAAUGUUGUGUGUGCUGCUGUAAAGGAGGAUACAAUUUCAUCAGAUCAAAAUUUCAGCAGUUCUAUUGAGAAUCAGAUCUUGGUCCAAACACACACUAAAGAUGAAAGUUGUGACAUGAUUGUAAACAAAGCAGGUAUUUCACUUCCUGCAGGAACUUCUAUUGACAGCUGUAUUUCUUCUGCAGACUGUAGGUCCAAAGGCAAUAAUGCUGCAUCACAGAAUAUGAAAAUUGUUCAGGAGGGGUCAUAUUUGUCUAGAGAAAAAACAAAUUCGGAACUCAAUGAUAUGGACAGUGAUACUGCAGAAGAGACAACUAUCGCACGUCCUGUGUAUAAUGCCUUUGCACAGGAUGAUCAGACAUUAGUCUCUGAUUUAGAAUCACUGGGCUCUAUGCUGGUAGUUGGUAGUUUGCUAUGGAAGGAAUUUCUAGCCAAGAAUCCAGAGACAACUAAUGACUUAUCACACUGUAGAUUUACAGAUGCGGAAGUUACUGCAAUACAACCAGUUUCAGAAACUACUGCAGUGUUAACAGUGGCUAUGUGUCCACAUGAACCAGUGCAAGCAUUUUUCAAUGAAAUAGAUGCGUACAACAUUGAUGCAAACUCAAAUGAUAAAAUAUAUUGUACAGGCAUUAAACUUCCAGAGACAGGGCGUUUCAAGGAAACUUUCGUUGUUUGGUUACUGUGGCAAGGAAUGCCACCUGCAGUGCAUGAAGUAUUUUCAGUCUUCAAGACUGAAUACUCUAAUGCUUUAGUUUUGCAAGAUAAUGUACAGUAUCUUGGAAUAAUUGUGGGCCUGUUGCCACCAUAUGUGGGUCUUAUGAAGAUUGCUGUGAGUAGUGCAGUAUCAGUGCUGGUACUAAUACAUGUAAAUGCUUUGACAGCUUGUAGAGGUAUAGCACUUAGAAAUUCAUCUGGAAGUUGGAUAAUAGAUUAUGUUAGUGUAGGAGAUGUGUUAACUGUAAGCAUUGAAAGUACAAAAAAUGUAUCCCUUAAGGAAAUUGGCAUCCAUUGGCGUGUGAAGAAAGUGUGGGACAACAACAUUGUAAAUGUGUCGUCACUUACUCUAGUGGAUGAUACGUGUACAUUUAGAGGAGUGGUUACCGCUGUGUACAACGAAUUUGGUGUAGUAACAUUUGAAACUGGAGGGUAUCUCAAGAGGGCACUGUUCUUCAAAGAUCAAACAAGUAUGAACUGGCAAGAAUUGAAAGCAGUUGUUACCUCAAAGGGAAAUUAUGAAGUUUCAUUUCAUGUAAAACCAGAGUGUUUUAAUCCAAAAUCUAUUCUUUGGCUUGCUUCAAAUGUUAUAAGAAUUGAAGAACGUGAAAGUUGUGUUACAGAAGAUUCAUGUGUAGCUGAUGAAGUUGAUUCAUUCAUUAAAAAUAGAAAAAUUAUUGCUUUUGUGGAAAAAUUGCAGCCAGAAAUGGGUCUAGCUGUUUUCAAAUUGUGUGGUAGAUAUGAACGUGCCAGUUUUUCCUAUACAAAAAUAUUUUUUGAUGGUAGUCAAAUAGAGCCAAAGUCAGCAUUGGCCAUGCUCAGAAUCAAUAUGCGGUUGAGUAUUAAAAUCCAGAGGAUAACAAAUUCGGAACAGGGAACAGUUAAAUAUACUGCUGAGUAUGUUGAAAUAAGACCAUAUAAUGAGAUGCAUGGAAAUGGAACGAAAGUGUCAGGUGUUACCUCCCUCACUAAUUUACUUGUAAGUAAAUUAAAUGUGACAUCAGGACUGGAAGAUGACAAUCGUAGAAUUUUAAAGGGGCUAAUGGGUAAGAUCAAAUAUGACAAAUUGGGUACUGGCAUCAUAGAAUUCAGCUACAAAAAUGAGGACUAUGAAGUCCCAUUUGAUCAGUCUACUAAUGUACUAAUAACUGCACAAGGUGGUAGGAACCUUCGUGACAUAUGGCCCGCAGGUAAAAUGGUUCAUUUUAACUUACUUUGUAAUAUCAGUAUGACGAGGUUGAGUGUUGAAUGUGUUUGGGAAAACAAAAAACCCAAAAAGAUUGUUUAUAAGAAUGCUCCAGAACUCCUUUCCAUCGACAGGAACAGUAUAAAAUCUGGAGGAAUGUAUCAAGCAAAGGUUGUACUAAUCAAAAAAUUUUCCUUUGUUGCUGAAAUUGUAAUGGAAGAUGAUGUUGCAUCAGUUUUUGUUACAAAUGUUUCAUUUCAUCCAUUCUCUGAUACAAGAAAAUUGUCUCACAAUGAAUGUGUGUCAUUGCAUGUAAACAAAGGUGAUGUAGUAUAUGUUGUAGUUGAAAGAUCAAGAAAUGGUGAAGAACAUGAAUGGUUCGCUAUAGAAGCUUGGAAAGAAGCUGCAGAUCAUACACCAGUGCCGUCUGCAGGCCUGAAGGCAUUGAGAAAUUUUCAGACUGGAGAGGAAGCAAAAAUAAUAACUUUGUCACCAACAGAAGGCCAACUGCAAACUGUAGCCGGUAUAGUGCUCAGUUUUGUACAGGAGGAUGUUUAUCUUUAUGGGUUACCUCUGAAAAAUGUGGAUUUGACAGACAUUCUGACAGUAGGUGUCACAGUUAACUUUUCUGCUUCUGCAGGCAGUUCUACAGCAGGCCAAUGUGUAUUCGUGUCAAAGGUAUGGAUUGGUUGCUAUGAAAUCUUAAGUUUCGCUGAAACAUAUGGUGCAAUUGCACAGUAUCGUUCAUCAAGAGGAUGGAAGCCACAUGUGUUUGAGGGAUUGAAAUACAGUUUACUGGAGACACACCGCAUCUGAUCCCAGACAUCAGUGACUGCCAAAACUCUCUUUGUUUUGUAGUUCAGAGAUGUAAACAGUAUUGCAGACUUAACAUCAAUGAAAGAACUAGGUAAACACAGACAGGUAGAGUCUGGAAAUAUGGUGGAACAGUCAUUACAGAUCAAAGAAAAUGUUUCGGACGAUGCCUGUUCUACAGAUGACAUUUUGAAAAAUGCAAUUGGC
rnacentral:misc_RNA from 1 species